GGCCAGGCGGCGCGGCCGGUUCCGGGCUUGGAGGAGCCGCUGCCUGGCGCCGGGGGACCCUGGGCAAGGGCCUCCCUCUCUGUGCCUCUGCCGGAACCCCCUCCGUCUUCGUGUGUACAGGCUGUGAGCUCUUCGGGUGCUUUACUACCAUUAAUUGAUCCUCAUAACUCCUUUGAAGUUGGUAAGUAAAUAUCAUUAUGAACAUUUUUCAGAUGAAGAAACCCAGGCAGAGAGGUGAAAUUACUCACCUAGGACAACACGGGGUCUGUUUCACAGUCAAGAUUAGCAACCAGGAGUUUCUAGCUCCUAGUUCUAUGUUCACAAAAGUACAAAAAGUAACAUUCCAUAUUCCUGACUGCUUUCUUACAGAUGAAACACAUCAUUGGUGACUCUAUCUGGAUUCAUAACCAGUGUCUCAUAGAUUAAAGAUAGAGAAAUAAUAAAAUGGUCUUGUAAUUAAGGUGAGAUUGCUACUUCCUCCCAGAUGAAUUCAGUACCAUUCUACUUCAGCAGUAGAACAGGAAACUUACUUUGAUGAUCCACUCUGGGAUGCUGGUGGAUCUUGUUGGAUUCCAAAGUUCCCUGGAAGAUAAAUCCAUCCCUACCUUAAAGAUGAGAAAACAGACAGAGAGGGGUUCACAGCCAGAGUAAAUGACAACCAGAGAACUUGGGUUUUCUAGACUUCCAAACAUUGGCUUGUACCCCCUGCCUAUACUGUCUCCCAGAAAAACCUAUUUGUCACCCAAGAUCAUAGACACUAGAGAAGGAAAAAAAUCUUUAUCUCCCUGUUUGUUCAGUUCAGAUUUUUCCCUACAGUAUGUUUUCUAGUCUUUUGCUCAAUCUAGUUUUAAAAGUCCCAAAUGAUGGGAGUUUUACUCUUUCCAUGGAAGACUGUUCCCCAGCCAAAUACACUUCAUUGUCAAGAAACUUUUACCGAUGUUCAGCCUACAUUUUCCUCUAUUUUAUUGUAAGUAAUUAUUCCCCUUGUGUCUCUUUGUGGAGCUGUGAUGAUUUACACCAGCUGAGGAUCUGGCCCAGAACUGGGCUUAGGUGUUUAUGCCCUAGCCAAUAUUUUAUAAACUGUUAUGUAUCUUCAGUUAUUGUUAACCACAGUAGACGUAUUUAUCUUAGUCAGUCCUCACAAGUCAACCCCUCUAGUUCUCUGAUUGUUGCCAUUCUCUGCAUUCUUUCCAGUUUGCCAAUAUCUUUCUGAUAACAUGGAGUCCAGAAUUCUUUAUAUGACUUGCUUUAAUCACCUACCUCAAUCAUUUAUUCCAUAAAUUUGUUUUUCUUGGUAAAAUGAUGUCUGCCUAAAUUACCUAGGUACUCCUAAUAUUUAGAUUGUAUGACAUCCCUUAGUUUUAACUCCUCAUUAAUGUAUCUCUAUAAAUUAUAUUGAUUUUUCAUAAUUUUGAUAAUCUCUAUUGUAUCAACCCAAAGUCUCUUCAUUUCUAAACAGAGUAAUCCCAGUUCUCUUCACAUUCUGUACAAAUCUGUUUAAUAAAUAUCCUUUAAGGCUCA